AUUGAACGCUGGCGGCAGGCUUAACACAUGCAAGUCGAGCGGAGAGGGGUAGCUUGCUACUGAUCUUAGCGGCGGACGGGUGAGUAAUGCUUAGGAAUCUGCCUAUUAGUGGGGGACAACAUUUCGAAAGGAAUGCUAAUACCGCAUACGUCCUACGGGAGAAAGCAGGGGAUCUUCGGACCUUGCGCUAAUAGAUGAGCCUAAGUUGGAUUAGCUAGUUGGUGGGGUAAAGGCCUACCAAGGCGACGAUCUGUAGCGGGUCUGAGAGGAUGAUCCGCCACACUGGGACUGAGACACGGCCCAGACUCCUACGGGAGGCAGCAGUGGGGAAUAUUGGACAAUGGGCGCAAGCCUGAUCCAGCCAUGCCGCGUGUGUGAAGAAGGCCUUAUGGUUGUAAGGCACUUUAAGCGAGGAGGAGGCUACUUUAGAUAAUACCUAGAGAUAGUGGACGUUACUCGCAGAAUAAGCACCGGCUAACUCUGUGCCAGCAGCCGCCGUAA
rnacentral:rRNA from 1 species